UUAUAAUUAGUGUAYGAUGCACAAAAAUUUUUGAUUUUUUUAGGUAUAGUUUAACUCUAUUAUUAUAAA
rnacentral:tRNA from 1 species